AGCGCACGGCCACCAGCGCCACGACCAAGGCCAUCACGUCGGAGAGCAUGUGGAAGGAGUCGGAGAGCAUGGCCAGCGACGACGUGACGCGGCUCACCGCCACCUCCACCACGAAGAACAGGAAGGGAACCAACAAACACGGAGCAAGAGACAGAGUGUGAAAGAACAUUCCGUGAGCAGAGCAUGGAGAGGAGACAGCAGCCCUGGCUCUUGGCAGCUGUGGAGGUGGAGCUGCGGACCCACAGAGGCCAGAGGAGAACUGGUGGCCUGAGAUGGAAGAAAUAGCCAGAACGCAAAAUGUUGUUCCUGUACUUGGAGAUUUCAAAGGGAUUGUGAUUCAGGGUCUGUGCAAAGGUUCCUGACUUAAUUUGGGCAGUAAAAUGACAGAAGGUGCUCACGUGUCCACAAGGAAACCUUCAUCAAUGAGAAUAACUGAGAGCAGUGAUUCAGGACAGGCUUCCCCUGUGCUUGGCUGCAUCCCCAAGAGCCCACACCUGGAUACCACACUCUUAUCCAUGUGUGGGAUAAGAGGCAAUGUGUGCCAUUCCCUCACUUUUGCUUAAUUUUCCUCACAUGGCAGAGCUGGCUUGGGCACCAGAGGCACUGCUGUGCUGACCUGUGACCCUAAACCGUGUUUCCCAUGAGAGUAUCCUUGGGUCAAAAUCUAGGUGUCCUACGUAGCGGUAGCAGCCCAUGCAGGAUUCUUUACUAGCCAUUGUAAAAAGAGUCAGCAAUUAGAUUGCUAUAACAUUCUCCUCACCUGGCUUCCCGUAUGCCCUGACGUCACUCACUAACAAGCUAAACGGCAAUUGCAUGGAACGGAACAUGCCCAUAUUGUGUUGUCCUCACUCCCACACAAGGCCAUUAGUUAACAAGGAAGAAUUACCCAAAUUUAGGAUAUAUGGGUCAAAGAAACUGCUGCAGCUCAAACCUCUUUUAAUUACUGCAGGUGAAGUGGGUCAUCAUUUUACAGAGAUUGCUAUUAAUCCAAUGGAAUUUAGCUAGGAAGGAAGGGAGAACAACAAGUUUGGUCUCUCUCAUUGGCUCAGCUCCAGGAAUUAGUGAAAUUGGGUUUUAGUUGGUUGCCACCAGGGUGUCAUCAUAGUUUUCUUGAUUAAAAGUACUCAAUCCCCUCCUGAGAGAAAUAAGCAGAAUAUCAAUAUCAGUAGAACCCUGAUGAAUAAAACUUCAUUAUAAACUUGUCAA